rnacentral:piRNA from 1 species
UGUGGAGAUCUUGCCCUACCUGUUCC